rnacentral:lncRNA from 1 species
GAAGACUCAGAUAUGCAGGCUAUAGGGAUUCAAGGUAAAGCUUUAGCAAGAUCAAAGCAUUUCUUUUGCAUAAAAGCUUACUAAGAGUAAAACCUACUUUCAAGUUUUAACUCAAGAUCAUCAUUUAUGACUAAUCAAAACUAUUAUCAAACUUUCAUAAGUAAACCAUAUCUUUCUUAUACCAAGAUUCACUUAUUACUACGAUGAUGGUACGAGGAUUGAGGCUCCAUAUCCGAGAAAACACGGCGAUUCGAAUCGAUUAAACCCAGCUGGGGAUUCAGUACCACACGACAUAUGUAGAACUUAAUCUUGCAUAUGUCAACCUUUUCUAUAGAUCCUCCCAUACAAGAACGGGUCCAGCGUCACCCGAGAGUACAGUACACCACCAUCCUACAGCCAAUCUAGAUGUUUCCCGGUCAUCUCAGAUCCGUAAGGUGGGUACACGCUACUCUCGCCAUCUCUCCACUCCCAGUACGCGGUUAGCCGUUCUCAAGUAUCGGAAUAGCUAUAGGUAAGGCUUACCGCCGCAUGUGGGCUGUACUCAAAGGUCUCAAUCACAACAGGCCAAUCAACGGUACGGUCCUUAAUCGACACAGUUGGAGACACUACUUUAAGACUCCAUUCUUAAAGCAAGUCCACCGACCGGUCUCAAGUUUAAACAUUAUUAACCAUAAAAGUAUUCCACAACAACCCUUCAAGCUUUCUCAUUUGAAAACCUAUCUAAUAAGCAGGGCUAAGCAUACUAAGCAUUUUCAUAAAGCAGGUAUCAAGGUUAAUAUGGAAAUCAUCAAGGUAGAUAAUGCAGCAAAUAUGAUUCACUCAACUCCUAUUCACCUAAUGCAUCAUAUUAACUCAAGUGAUAUAAAUAACUUUAUGAAAAUACAAGGAUAGGGUUUAAUGUCCGGGGCUUGCCUUGACCGGAAGGGAAGUUCGACAACUCAGCAAAACCCGAAGGAUCCACAAACUCGGAAGCAACCCACUGAGGAUCAGAUUCCUCUGGAGCGUAGUCUACACGUAGAAGUGCAUAUGCAUGAUUAAUGAGAUGCUCAUGAUAUGAUAAAGACAGGUUACAUGUUCUUGGAUGAUAACAACAAACAUAACUACCUCGAGUACAACUUACCUUCAUGGUAUAGAAAUAAACUAAUCUAGCUAUCAAAACAUAGAUUACUUCUAAGCAAAUUUUAUCAUCUUCAUUAAGCAAGGUUGUGUAGCUAUCAGACAACAAAGAUUAUUUAUAUGAAAUAAUCUAUAACCAGGGAGCAUAUCAUGCCAAGUACCCACUGGUUAUCAAUCAAUCCCAAAGAUCAAUCAAAACCUAAAAUGAUUAGGCUUUCUAUUUAUCUUAAUAAACUCUUAAUUAAAUAUUAAUGACAGUAAUUAAGUAUUAACAUCAAACAAUAAUUAAGUGCCAAAGGUCAUUAAGAUUAAUGACCUCAGGUCAUCACACAAUUCCAAAAUCACUCAAAUUCUAAUUUGGAAAUUAAGUUACUCAUUAUUUAAGUAAAGGCUAGCUAAAAGCAAACAAUUCUAUUUGCACACAUAACCAGGACAGCAGCAUAUACACAACUUCAUUCAACCAUAAUUAGAGAUACAAGCAUCCAACAAAGGUGAUAUUAGGCUUUCUGGAAAGCUUAUAUAAUUUUCUACAACUUUGUUAUUAUCUUCGAGAACUGAUUUAAUAGAUAAAAUAGCCAAACAGUAUGAAUAAACAAUUCUGUCCAGACCUUGGACAGAAUCAGACAUUAAGCUUCAUACAUCUAUAACCAGAGUUCUAGAUCACCAAAAUUCAUGAUCCAUAACAUUUUGGAAAGCUUAUGAAAAUUACUACAAUUCAUCUUUUAUCAUGAAAGCAUAAUUCAUAAGUUUAGUAGGUUGAAAUUGCACAACUACAGAAACUGAUCCAGGAUUUGACAGAAAGAAACCAUUUCUGAAACUUAAAUUUAAACAGGCAUAACUCAGAAACUAUAGGGCCAAAUGCCACCAAAAUUUAACACCAGCUAGAUACAUGAAUUCUAUACAACUUUGUUAUAGACAAGUUUCAUAUCCAACAUUAUUUACCUAGAGCAAUUCAUAAGGUUCCAGAAAUUGUCGAGAAACCACUAAUAUUUGAAUUAUAAAGAAAUAACAUUUUAUUUAUGUUCCAAACUUGAACCUGGGCAAAACCCAGCUUACUAACAGUUGUAAUACAUCAAAUAGAUACUAGAAAACAUCAUGGUCAUCCCUAAAUAAAUACCUUUCAUGUCUUUAUUAAUUUAUUUAGAUAAAUAGACAAAGUAAUAACCAUAUAUCAAAAGUACACAGUAAAUUCUGAAAAAACUACAGAAGCUCAUAUAUGCUCUCCAAAGUCUACUGUAUAAAUUUCAUGCCAUUUGGAUAAGUAUAGCAAUUUCCAUGAAAAAGAUAAAUUUCCAUCACAAUGAAGCAUGUAACAACAAGAUAAAUAAGAAAAUUGACAUUUUCUACAAACACAUAGCUAAAUUAUGUAUCUAUAUGAUAUAACAACCUCAUAUAAAGGCAUAGGAACCAUAUUUUACAUUUAUUUAUUUUUAGUUUAAUUGUAAACUAUUUAAUAAGCACUAAACAAGAUAAAUUAAUAACUUAAUCAUAUGUCAUCCAAUGAAUCUAAAAACUUAACCACAGCACACACACAUAAUCAUUAGCCUACCAUAAAAGUUUCAUCUUAAAAGAAGCUAUACAGCAAUAGAUAUGAAUUUCUCCCUUUUAAGCAUAAUUAAAAGACAUAAUUCAUAACUAAUUAUUUUACUAUAAAACAUAGUCAGUUCCAUAUUUUUAAUAAAAACUAGACAUUUCAAGGAGCACAACAAAAUUUGGUUCACCAAAAUUGGAGCUACCAAACUCUAGAUAUGAAUUUUCAAAGAUUCAACAAAACAUCUACAAACAAGUCCUUAUAGCACUAUUCACCUGAGUCACAGUCUGUGCAAUUAGACCCCUGGAGAACUUCCAAUUGUUGCGCGUGGUCCCUGGUCGCGAACUGAAAACAGGGGAGCUCGUCGGAGAUCGCGGUUUCGGCGUUGGGGUGCUCGUCGGCGGCAGAGGAGCAGCGGAGGAGCUUGCCCGGACUAGUGCGCACCUGCUGGUGGCCGUAGCUUGUCCCGCAAUGGCUCGAGGUGGCCUGGCCACGUUGAGGUGCUCCUCGGCGGCGUUUUUGGCCUGAGUGGAGGAAGAACGGACGUAGCCGGGGAUAGAAAUGGUUAGAGCUUGCACCAAGGGGCGCAAAAACUGGGGUUGAAAUUAGGGGUUUUUCUUAGCUAUUCCCUUACCACCCUCCUUAGCUAGGGAUUAAACAACUAUCACAAGCACGAUAAACACACUUUAAUUCCCUAAGCACAAUCAACCAAAAUAAACUUAUUUUUAAGUUGAUGCAUAAUGAUGUGCUUAACAAUUAUGCUUUGCAAUGCUUAUGAUGACAUGAUCCAGUUUUAGUAUUCGUAACAUCAGGGAUGUUACAGCCCUUCCCCCUUAACGAAAUCUCGUCCCGAGAUUUUCAGGGUACUAAAACCCGUGGGGUUAAGUAAUGGAAAAGAAAAUGUGUCAAGCACAUUAACUUCUGAGAAGUUCAUAAAACAAUUACAAUUGGUCCGAGAAUUACAACUAAGAUCAACAGAAUGUUGUAAUCAAUAAGAAUGUUAGAGAAUUCAUAAGAAGAUAUGGAUCUCCAAAUGAGCUUCCAAGGAGAAUGAAAGCACACUAACUGUAGACUAUAGCGGAGCAUGACCAGAGAUCCCGAUGUUUAACGAGCACCUAGUAGUAUUUCCUUAUGGCUGCAGUCCACAGGAGACUACAAGGUUCGACGCUAUAACGUGAUCACGGAUCAUGGUACCUACUAUAGAGUACGGUUACAAUAGCUUUCAAUGACCUAUGUUGGUUAUCCAAGUCAAGGGUUUUAGGUAAUUUCCACAAAGAUAUGGGCAUGGGUUCCCAUGAUAGGGCUCAAAGAGCGAGGGCACCUUAGUUGUGGGGCUAUAAUGGAUCAUGUCCAUAACCUCGAUACCUGCACGCGCCCAGUAGAAAUUUGUGUCAUCUGAACACACAAAAGACUCUAGGUUCCGACGCGGCACCGUGGUCACGGGACAUGGCACCACUAUAGGGCACCACAACAAUAACCCAUGUCUCACAAUCCCAAGAAUGUAACUGAGAUCAAAAGUCGAUCACAAUCACAAGGUGUUUAGGGAACUCAAAAGGACAAAUUUGAAUCCCUAAGGAGUGUCCAAAGAAUGAAACACCCUAAUUGUGGACUAUAAGGGAUCAUGAUCAUAUACUUUGAUAACAAUGAGCGCCCAGCAGUAUUUCCUCAUGGUCAUGAGCCAUAGGAGAUCCCAGGUUUUGACAUUGUUACCUAAGUCACAAGUCAUGGUACCUUAAGAGAACACAAUCAUAGUGACAUUCAAUCAACAAAAAUGUUGACAAAAGAUAUCAAGGAGGUAGCAUGUGUCCGAAUUAGAUGAAAUCAAGGAAGGUCACAUGCAUAACAAAUGAAUCAAGGAUUAGGAUCUUAUGGAGUAAAAGAUUAUCAAUCAGUUAACGAAACCUGGUACAUGAUGAGAUUCAUCAAUAAAACAGCUAUAACGAAUAAUAACUGUUUUUGAAGCAUAAGGAGGGGCUUUUAAGUAUCAUUAUAUUGUCAUGUUAUGCUUGAUAUGCAAUAUGCUCGUCCUAUACGUCUUUACAACGUUAGCUAGGAGGUAACUACUUAUAUAGGGCAUACUUUAUACAUUAUCUUUAUUGCUCUGGACGGAAUGUUGCAAGACUUUUGACAAAGCAUUGUUGGAGUAGUUUGAUUCUUCACUCGGCUUGUUGAAGAAAAAUUGAAGUCCCUUUCAAUGCCUUCUAUUUGAGUCGACAGAAAGUCUUCGUAGAACGGGGACAGCAAGCAUAAGAAAAGUUAAGGAGCAUUUAUAAGUCGUUAUCCUCAAAAACUUUUAAUUUGUAAAUUCCUUUUGAAGUUUUUCACAAGUAAUGUUGCAGAACAUCCAUGUAUGAGCUCUGAUACCAGCUGUGGCAGAACCUCCUGAAUUAAUUGGCCCACAUGCACCCAUCAUUAUCUCAAAGACUUCUGAUCGGCGUGCACGAGUUCCAAAUGACUCAAGAAGUCUGUCGGGUGCCCUCGGAGGACCCCGAAUCAUCCACGUUUUAACUCAUACAGGAUCAACAUGGAGUUACCACAACAUUACAACAUUUGUUACAAAAAUAACUUACAUCAGAGUGCGGAAGAUUUAUAACUUAAUUUACAACAUAUGAUGAAGUACAAACUUAACUAAAUUUUUAAAAGGUGUGUAGAGUAGCGAAAGCAUCCUAGGUGAAGCUUCUAAGGUAGGAGAGGUGGAUAAAUCAUGUCGCGCCCACCGACAUGACCUCCAUUAGCAGUCUAAGUCAGCACCUGCAACAGGGGUUAUAAAACCCUGAGUACGAAAGUACUCAACAAGACUUAACCGACUAGAAAAGAGGUGAAGACUCAGAUAUGCAGGCUAUAGGGAUUCAAGGUAAAGCUUUAGCAAGAUCAAAGCAUUUCUUUUGCAUAAAAGCUUACUAAGAGUAAAACCUACUUUCAAGUUUUAACUCAAGAUCAUCAUUUAUGACUAAUCAAAACUAUUAUCAAACUUUCAUAAGUAAACCAUAUCUUUCUUAUACCAAGAUUCACUUAUUACUACGAUGAUGGUACGAGGAUUGAGGCUCCAUAUCCGAGGAAACACGGCGAUUCGAAUCGAUUAAACCCAGCUGGGGAUUCAGUACCACACGACAUAUGUAGAACUUAAUCUUGCAUAUGUCAACCUUUUCUAUAGAUCCUCCCAUACAAGAACGGGUCCAGCGUCACCCGAGAGUACAGUACACCACCAUCCUACAGCCAAUCUAGAUGUUUCCCGGUCAUCUCAGAUCCGUAAGGUGGGUACACGCUACUCUCGC